rnacentral:lncRNA from 1 species
AUGAAAGUGACUUUCAGAGGCAAUGUGGACGUCCCCAUCUGCUCCCAUCUGUUCUUCUUAACUAAGGAAAGACGGUUGAAGAUUGCAUCAUCAGACUUUCCAGUUCAGGAUGAAGUGUACUUAUGAACAGCAACCAUAUGCAGAAACUAAAGACUCAGAAAGUUCUGCAGGCUUUCUUGGAAACUAGACUCUAUACAAGAGAAAUAGAAACUAAAAGCAGCACUCAGAAUAUUACCCAAGGAUAAUGAAAGCAAAUGUCUCUCCCCAGACCCAUCAAGAGGUAAAUGUGUAUGAAGCCUCAGGGCAUGCCUGUUGGGGCAGAGGCUCCUCAGGGCUCUUGGGAGUUAAAAUGGCCAGAG